AAUAAAUAAAUAAGCAGGCCUCGAUUUAGUCGAUUAUAUAUGGAUAUUUACAUACUGCCAUUAGACCUAGGAAACUCAACGAGCUUACAUUUCACUAUUCAACAAGUCACCAAGCGAACUUCUAUUCUAUAAAAAUGAAUAAUCUUAAUUCGCCACCUAGUAAAGCCAUGAAUCGAAAACGAAUCAAAAAGAGAAGUGUGUCCAUGAUAAGGAUGCAACCACCGGAAAAGCGGAUGCGUCUUGAAAAUGAAAUGGUAUUGGAAAUAAGGCGCAUUAAAGUUGAUCAAAAAGAAGAUAAUUCUGGUUAUAAUGUUAUCACUAAGGAAUAUUUAAUGGAUAAUUUCGAUGACACUGGCAUGGAAAUGCGUAUCUCUAAAUUGAAUUAGCAGUGAUAAAUUUCGAUUAAAUGCAUGCUCAUCAUGCUGCUUAUCAAAAUAUUGAUUAUGUUUUUCUCUAAAUUAGUUGCGACUGAACUAAUAAAUUUUGAUGGCGCCUAAAUUGGAUUAUUGAUACACUUAAAUUAUAAAUUGAAUGCGUUGCAGUUCUGCAAAACUUGGAAAUUUCAUUGCGACCCCUUGGAAAUUUGGUUUUCAUAAUGCACCUUGAUGUUGAUUGAAUAGCGCUUGCUGGAAUUAUAAAUAUAUGUUUUAGGUAAAAUACCUGAAAAUACGCAACAUUGUGUGUUUGAGCAGCGCGGAGUGACCAUCUUCAAGACAGGAAUAUUAAGUGAUUGCAUGCACACAAAUGUGAGGGCAACUCAAUUACGGAAGCGUUUUGCGCCAUGUGGCGCCGCCAAGAAUUUCAUUUGGCUGGCAAGUCACGUGAUGUGCAACAGCAGCAGUCGUCGCUGGUGGGUUAUGUUACGUUGCGCCGCCGAGAGGAUCUGGGCAUCUGGAGAUCGGGUGUCAGGGGUCGGGACACUGGGGCUCUGGGGCUCUAAAGGUCUGAGGUCUGGGGGUCAAACGCUGACCCGACACAAUGAUAAACUGCGUGCCGCAAUAUGAGGCAGCUAGCCGCAGAACUUUUUGGCCAUGAGUGCGAGCGAGUGUAGGAGACCAGCCUGCCGCUAAUUUAUGUCAUCCCUCGUCCUUUCCCAGUCCGCCGAAGAUGGAUCCUGGCCCAUGGCCAAAGGGAGUCCUUUUAGUCACCAUUUUCUCCCUACGCCUUCUAUACUAAUUUUUUUUUUUUUUUUUUUUUUUGGUUGCGACAUGGUCAACUGGCACAUGGCAUUCCCAGUGGCACGCUCCAGGGGCAUCAAUAUUCCCGACGCUGGACGCGCAUGGCCACCUUCGGCGAGGAAAGGCAGCGCUCCCCAGAUGCACUGCAAAAGAUUUUCCCCAUCUCUUCUUAAGCCACGCACAUCAUAACGUAAUCACUAUACGUUGCCGCAUAAUGCAGACGGCAAACACCCAUACAUUCUUACGGCAUUUCCAUAUGCAAUUGGGCGCAUUAAUUCAAUUGAGCCGAUGACGAUAAGGACAUGGAUGCCAGGAUGCCAGAAUGCCAGGAUGCCAGAAUGCCAGGACGUCAGGAUGCUUGAAUGCCAGAAUGCCAGAAUGUCAGGCUACUAACGUUAAUGAACCGGGUGGCAAAGUUCCGGACGGGACAAUGAGCGAAUGACAUCAAAUAUAUAAGCACAAUUAAUGCAGUCCUUCGACAAGUUUUCCGUUGUCCUUGACUGUAGGUGAUACCCAUCUGUACAUACAUACAUUUAGUGCCCAUCCUUUGCCUAAUUUAUCCUGAUGGCGGACUUGAUACGCAUCGCUGUGCGACAGCAGCAGACUUGGCUAAGUGGCACCCGAUUCCCGGCGACUUUAUAAAUAUGACUGUGCGUCAUAAAAAUGUAUGAGGCGGCGUUGUCGAAGUGCAUGAAUUUUAUGCGAGCCUCACUCUGUUUCUUCAUGCACUGGGCAAAAAAAUUAUAUUUAUAUAUUUAUAAAAUAAUUUUAUUA